UGGGGAAUCUUGCACAAUGGGGGCAACCCUGAUGCAGCGACGCCGCGUGAGCGAUGAAGCCCUUCGGGGCGUAAAGCUCUUUCGACCGGAACGAUAAUGACGGUACCGGGAGAAGAAGCUGCGGCUAACUACGUGCCAGCAGCCGCGGUAAUACGUAGGCAGCAAGCGUUGUUCGGAGUUACUGGGCGUAAAGAGUGCGUAGGCGGUUUUCUAAGUUCGGUGUGAAAUCUCCCGGCUUAACUGGGAGGGUGCGCCGAAGACUGGGAAGCUGGAGUGUGGGAAAGGCAGGCGGAAUUCCUGGUGUAGCGGUGAAAGGCGUAGAUAUCAGGAGGAACACCGGCGGUGUAGACGGCUUGCUAGACCAUAACUGACGCUGAGGCACGAAAGCGUGGGUAGCAAACA
rnacentral:rRNA from 1 species